GACGAACGCUGGCGGCGUGCUUAACACAUGCAAGUCGAACGGAAAGGCCCUGCUUUUGUGGGGUGCUCGAGUGGCGAACGGGUGAGUAACACGUGAGUAACCUGCCCUUGACUUUGGGAUAACUUCAGGAAACUGGGGCUAAUACCGGAUAGGAGCUCCUGCUGCAUGGUGGGGGUUGGAAAGUUUCGGCUGUUGGGGAUGGACUCGCGGCUUAUCAGCUUGUUGGUUGGGUAGUGGCUUACCAAGGCUUUGACGGGUAGCCGGCCUGAGAGGGUGACCGGCGACAUUGGGACUGAGAUACGGCCCAGACUCCUACGGGAGGCAGCAGUGGAGAAUAUUGCACAAUGGGCGGAAGCCUGAUGCAGCAACGCCGCGUGCGGGAUGACGGCCUUCGGGUUGUAAACCGCUUUCGCCUGUGACGAAGCGUGAGUGACGGUAAUGGGUAAAGAAGCACCGGCUAACUACGUG
rnacentral:rRNA from 1 species